CGCGGCUCGAGAGAUCGAGCUUUCAGUUCGGCUGGAUAUCACACAGGUGCUGCAUGGCUGUCGUCAGCUCGUGUCGUGAGAUGUUGGGUUAAGUCCCGCAACGAGCGCAACCCUCGCCUUUAGUUGCCAGCAUUCAGUUGGGCACUCUAGAGGAACCGCCGGUGAUAAGCCGGAGGAAGGUGGGGAUGACGUCAAGUCCUCAUGGCCCUUACGGGAUGGGCUACACACGUGCUACAAUGGUGGUGACAAAGGGUUAUCCCUAAAAGCCAUCUCAGUUCGGAUUGGGGUCUGCAACUCGACCCCAUGAAGUUGGAAUCGCUAGUAAUCGCGUAACAGCAUGACGCGGUGAAUACGUUCCCGGGCCUUGUACACACCGCCCGUCACACCAUGGGAAUUGGGUCUACCCGAAGACGGUGCGCCAACCGCAAGGAGGCAGCCGGCCACGGUAGGCUCAGUGACUGGGGUGAAGUCGUAACAAGGUAGCCGUAGGGGAACCUGCGGCU
rnacentral:rRNA from 1 species